CAGAUCACAUUAAAACACUGGUUCCCGUACGAUCAUCAAAGUUAAGCAAAGUCAAGCCUGGUCAGUACCUAGAUGGGUGACUGCUUAAGAAUACCAGGUGUUGUAAG